AAAUAUCUUGGACUCACCCUGGGGGUAUUCCAGAAAGCUUGGUUAACUUACCAUUUGAUAAACUAUAACCUCUGGGUUGAUUUACCCCAAACAGGCAUACCAUGAGUAUGUCGGUUCCAAAACACCUGAGAAGAGUUAGUUUAAUCAACCUCUGACUGGUUACCCAGAGUUAAUGCGCGUGCACGGUGCAUGUAUAAAGACAUUUUCAAUGGAUCGCCGAUUUCACGAGUCACCAUGGAAACUCAAAGCGAAAAAAAAGAGCGACGUAUUUCACAGAGGCGGAGUUGGAAGUUUUAAUGCAUGCUUAUGAGGAGUUUAAGCCAAUAAUAUUAAAAAGAAGCAAUACAGCUGCAUCGGCUAAAGCAAGAGAGCUGGCUUGGCAAAAAAUAACGGACAGAGUAAAUGCGUGUAAUCCUUCUGGAGCCACAAGAACUUUAAGCCAAGUCAAAAUGAAACACAAAAACAUUCUGCAAAAAGCUAACAGAAAGAAGACUGAAGCUCGUCUAACUGGCGGGGGGCCACCACCACCUCCCCUCACCCCAUCUGAGGAGCUGGCUCUGUCCCUUAAUAAAG